GCUGCUUUAGCUCAGUUGGGAGAGCGUGAGACUGAAGUUCUUAAGGUCCUGUGUUCGAUCCACAGAAGCAGCAC
rnacentral:tRNA from 1 species